UCAUAUGCUUGUUUCAAAGAUUAAGCCAUGCAUGUCUAAGUACAUACUUUUAGCAAAGUGAAACCGCAAAUGGCUCAUUAAAUCAGUCAUGGUUUACUAGACCGUACUAAUUACUUGGAUAACUGUGGUAAUUCUAGAGCUAAUACAUGCCUCGAGUCUCUGACCCUUAGGGGGAAGAGCGCACUUAUUAGACCAAAACCGAUCGGGGCUUCGGCCUCGUCCUGGUAAUGGUGACUCUGGAUAAUUAUGCAGAUCGCACGGUCCUGGUACCGGCGACGUAUCUUUCAAAUGUCUGCCUUAUCAACUUGAUGGUAGGUUACUUGCCUACCAUGGUUGUAACGGGUGACGGGGAAUCAGGGUUCGAUUCCGGAGAGGGAGCCUG
rnacentral:rRNA from 1 species